GACGAACGCUGGCGGCGUGCUUAACACAUGCAAGUCGAGCGGUAAGGCCCUUUCGGGGGUACACGAGCGGCGAACGGGUGAGUAACACGUGGGUGACCUGCCCUUAGCUCUGGGAUAAGCCUGGGAAACUGGGUCUAAUACCGGAUAUGACUCCAUGACGCAUGUUGUGGGGUGGAAAGCCUUGUGCGGCUAGGGAUGGGCCCGCGGCCUAUCAGCUUGUUGGUGGGGUGAUGGCCACCAAGGCGACGACGGGUAGCCGGCCUGAGAGGGCGACCGGCCACACUGGGACUGAGACACGGCCCAGACUCCUACGGGAGGGCAGCAGUGGGGAAUCUUGCGCAAUGGGCGAAAGCCUGACGCAGCGACGCCGCGUGGGGAUGACGGCCUCGG
rnacentral:rRNA from 1 species